rnacentral:misc_RNA from 1 species
CAAAAAAAAAAGUGAAAGCAGAAGUACCCUGUUAGCACAUAUCCACGCGUGCCGAAGAAUCAAAGCCACCAUCACCACCUUUACUUCGCCAUGCAGCAUUCCCGACUCGGUCGAAAUACCAAUGGGGCCCUUGCCUACUCGCACCGCAGCAUCGACAGCGUCCCGGCCGACGAGGAUGCUCUCAAGGAGUUUUUGAGGUCACGUGGCAUGGAGGGCUUUGCAGCCAGUGCGUACUGGGGUGCCACGGGCGAGGUACCACCUCGUGCACCAGACGACGUCGCAUCCAAGCAGCCAUAUCCCUUUCAGGCAGAGAUCAACCGCAAGCUGGUGCCGCUCCCGAAGGACCAGACAAGCUACCCUCGCACGCUAGACUACACGAACGUCGGACUUCACUUGAUCCUAGACGACGGUAACAGCAACACAGGAGGUUUCAACGCAUCUCAGCUGCAGAAGCUGGGAGAGGGUGGCGCCGGCGGCGAUGGCCUUGGCGGCACACAAGGACAGGGCAACACCGGCUCGCAAAAGCCACGGUUCCUCACACUGCAAACUACCAAUCAGGCCAUCCCUCGCACCUUCGACGAUGGUGUGCUGGACGUGCUCCGCGCCGGACAGGCCAAGGAGGACGCUCUCAAGAAAGAGCUGGACAAUCUAGAGGCAACGCCGUACGCAAGCGGCGCUGCACCGGACGCUUUCCGUCUCACCUCAGACGACUACUGCGACUUCGGCAAGAUGGACCCGUCAGCGUACCGGCAGAAGGAUUGGAAGGAGGACGGGGAUGGCGUGUACGUCUACAAGAGCCGAUACAACAACGUCGAGCGCGAGGGGCCUCGGCGCCGCGAGCGCACGUUUCAGACCCUACAGCGUGGCCGCACGGUCGACCGUACGCAGCUACGUAGCACACUAGAAGAUAGCCACAAGCAAGCCCUGCCGCAAGGCUACGAGCCCUACUCAGCCAAGGACUGGAUGAGCACGACCCACCGCGAGCAUGCAGCCUACGAUGUUGCAGAGGCGCGCCACAUGAACAACCGCGACGCCACGGUGCCGCUGCGCAACACGCACUACGCCCUCUCUCCAGCCCAAGAGAUGGCGGUCACGCAGCGCGACGCUCGCUUUCAGACGCGCCACGAUGGGAAGUGGGCAACUACCUACUCAGCCGGGUACCAGGAUCGCUCGGCCGAGGCGGAUGUGUGUCACAAGUACGGCGCCAAGGCCGUUUUCGACAUUGAGGACGGCAUCUACACCAUUAAUCACGAGUACCACCACCCACGAAGGGAGGUGCGCACAGGUGAGACCUACACGCCAGCGGAAAUGGUGCCUGGGCAGUACACCACCAUGUACACCGAGCCACUGCCGGCUCCGAACAGCGUCAUUGGCAGCACUCGCCGCUGCUGAGGAAACUCAUGACUCAAGACGAGCAGAGCGGCGACGAAAAAGGCGCUACGGGGGGCAACGCCCUCGGUGCCGACAUCGUUUUGAUUUCCUGCGCGCGGUGCAGCUCCGAGGAUGACUCCAGACGCUGAGUAUGCGUGUCUGUGUCUCACAGAACUGCACGCACGCACCACGCAAGCGUUUCUUGUAUGCUCUCUUUUUCUGUUUUGCCUCUCGCAUCUGUCACCCCACUUCCCCUUCUUUGUCCGUUUGCCUGCUCAGAUGCAUGCCGCUCAGACUCGAGUGCUUGUGUGCGCAUCUGAGUCUGUUCUGUCUGACUCUACCUCACUGCGCAUGUGUAUGUAUGUGAUGAUGAUGCUUCAGAUACACGUUUCGCUUGUGUUCGCCUUUUUUCAUUAUUUGCGGUUGCUCUUGUCGUGCCUCUGUGUCUUCACGACGCUGCCAUGGAGAAGAGGGAAAGGAGAGCGGGCCGGCGAGAAGGUAGGAUGAAGCGACCGAGAGGGGCAUCGCCCCUGUUGCUAGGCGAGCCGAUUUCCCUGUCGCACGCUGCCCUCUGAUCCUCUUUCCUCGUCUCCCCAUCUUGUCAGAGAGCUCCAGCCUUGACAUGCACGCAUAUGUAUAAUAGCGCUUUCCCGCCGUUGAUUGCUUUGGCCGAGGAGCUCCUGCUGUGAAACAACGCCGCGCGGAGCCAAAGCCAUAAACAGUGUAUCAGUCGUAGCACCAACAACAAUCGGGCUGUGUGGUGGAGAGAGGUGCAUCAGAUACACCAGAGGACCUUUGUUGGUGCGCUGACAGUAGGCGCACCGAGUGCCUAUUCCAGAGAUCGCGUCUCUCUCGGUGAAAGCCACAUGCGCAUACACAGUCACACCAUCGCUGUCACUGCUCGUUUUCCUGCCUCUAUCGCGAUCGCGCCGUACUUUCCGUACGCGUGUGGCGAGACCGUCCUCUCCCUCUUUGCUGGUUCUAUGCGUCGUAUCAUACAAGCUCGCUUCACUUUCCCUCCGUCUCAUUAUUUUUCCUGAAUCCCUUUUCGUUUUUGCUUGUAAUCUGGCACUGCCAUUCCUGCGUGAUGGGGGUUGCGUGGCUGGUUGGCUAUCCAUUGCAUCCCUGGCACGAUGGCCCUCACGCACGUGCGUGUGUGUGUGCGUCUGUAUGCCUACAACUGCACACACACACAUAUAUAUAUAUAUAUAUAUGUAUAACAUGCGUCUAUCACCCACGAUCUGCAUCUACGGCGACUGCCUUAAUCGGUGUUGCUGUGGUUUUCCUCUGUUUUGUUUUUGCACGUUGUGCUUUGCGACUCGGGGGCGGUGCUUCUGCGCAAG